UUCCGACCUGUCUCUCCCAAAAACCUUCAUCUGUUCGCCGAAGAUUACGAGGAAGAGGAACCACCAUCUGCUCCCUAUCAUUUAGAUUCGAAUCUGUACAGCCCUUCUCCUACGACGCGUCCUCAUGUUUGUUGAGCUGCUGCCACCAGUGCAAGGGUGGUGGAGUCUGCAACAUUUGCACAAGAAACUACCAUAAGUUGUACAUUAUUUUCUACUGUGAGCGCGGAGAUGAACUCUGCUCCGUUGGGCAGCAACUAAAAGUUGAAAUCUAGGUUGUUUCUGAUAAGUUUUCUGCAGCAAUUUUGGCAGCAAAUCUGCACGGGUGAACUCUCAGUUCAUUCGAUGUCAAAGGAACGGGGCCGUUCCCUUCAGCUAUUCUUACUCUCGGAGUUUGGUGAAAGCGAAGGAACCUUUGAGAAAUACUAGGAUAUGGUCCGCCACUGAGGAAGAAGAUGCCACUGUUGUUGUCGAUGAAGCAUCUGCUGCUGCGACAACUACCAUUGAUCAGAUUGUUUCUGUUUUCGUCUCUCCUUCCGAUGUCCUCACCAUGUUCUUUCAGAUUUUAGUGUUAUUACAUUUUGCAUCAUAGUACCACCUAAAAUCGAAGGGCUGCAAUUUUUUGGUAUUGGUGGUGAGCUUCAAUUUUUUGUUAUUGGUAAUGAGCCUACUGAACGUAAUUCAUCAUAUGCACUAUCUUGAACAUCAGUUGAUAACACUAGAUUCCCAAAUUCACCUUCAACUUCACCACACGACUCCUCUGAUUGUGAUGGAAUUUCAAACACAGAGGUAUUUAGAGUAAACAAAGGUUGCUUGAUUAAAGUUGGAUUCAACAUCAUUGCUUUUUGUGCUUCCUUGAUAAUUUCUUCUAUGUGUGGACUUGAAAA